UGUUCUUUAAGCUCAGCUGGUUUGAGCGUCGUGCUUAUAACGCGAAUGUCGUGGAUUCGAUCCCCAUACCGACCA
rnacentral:tRNA from 1 species